GGGCCCGUGGCUUAGUCAGGCAUAGCGUCGGACUCUUAAUCCGAACGUCGGGGGUUCAAAUCCCUCCGGGCCCG
rnacentral:tRNA from 1 species